rnacentral:rRNA from 1 species
GGGCAUCCCGGAGGCAGGAAAGGCUUCGGCCGGACAGGGAUGGGCAUGCGGCGCAUUAGGCAGUAGGCGGGGUAACGGCCCACCUAACCGACGAUGCGUAGGGGUUCUGGGAGGAAGGUCCCCCACACUGGUACUGAGACACGGACCAGACUCCUACGGGAGGCAGCAGUGAGGAAUAUUGGUCAAUGGUCGGGAGACUGAACCAGCCAAGCCGCGUGAGGGAUGAAGGUACAGAGUAUCGUAAACCUCUUUUGUCAGGGAACAAAGGCGGGGACGUGUCCCCGGAUGAGUGUACCUGAAGAAAAAGCAUCGGCUAACUCCGUGCCAGCAGCCGCGGUAAUACGGAGGAUGCGAGCGUUAUCCGGAUUUAUUGGGUUUAAAGGGUGCGCAGGCGGUCUGUUAAGUCAGCGGUCAAAGCCCGGGGCUCAACCCCGGCCCGCCGUUGAAACUGGCAGUCUCGAGUUGGAGAGAAGUAUGCGGAAUGCGCGGUGUAGCGGUGAAAUGCAUAGAUAUCGCGCAGAACUCCGAUUGCGAAGGCAGCAUGCCGGCUCCACACUGACGCUGAGGCACGAAAGCGUGGGUAUCGAACAGGAUUAGGUACCCUGGUAGUCCACGCAGUAAACGAUGAAUGCUGGCUGUCCGGGGGGAUUGACCCCUGGGUGGCGAAG